rnacentral:misc_RNA from 1 species
UACGGAGGGUGCAAGCGUUAAUCGGAAUUACUGGGCGUAAAGCGCGCGUAGGCGGCUUGGUCAGUUGGAUGUGAAAGCCCAGGGCUUAACCUUGGAAUUGCAUUCAAUACUGCCAGGCUAGAGUACGGUAGAGGGGGGUAGAAUUCCACGUGUAGCGGUGAAAUGCGUAGAGAUGUGGAGGAAUACCAGUGGCGAAGGCGGCCCCCUGGACUGAUACUGACGCUGAGGUGCGAAAGCGUGGGGAGCAAACAGG